rnacentral:rRNA from 1 species
GACGAACCGUGCGAACGUUGUUCGGAAUCACUGGGCUUAAAGGGCGCGUAGGCGGGCAGGCAAGUCAGGGGUGAAAUCCCACGGCUCAACCGUGGAAGUGCCUUUGAUACAGCACGUCUCGAGUCCGGAAGAGGUGGGUGGAAUUCCUAGUGUAGAGGUGAAAUUCGUAGAUAUUAGGAAGAACACCGGUGGCGAAGGCGGCCCACUGGUCCGGUACUGACGCUGAGGUGCGAAAGCGUGGGGAGCAAACAGG